rnacentral:misc_RNA from 1 species
CUCGAAGCAUUUCCAUUUCUUAUAUUCUGCUUAUAUGGAUUGCCGGUGACCGUAUCUGUCUCCAAGGAGUAAACUUUUGUAAGCCCCAUGGCGUGUCCGUUUGAAGUUGUGGUAAUGCUCUGGGAAAGGUAAAUGCAAUCUGCUUUCCAGGAGAGGGAACUUUAUAAAUCCUCUGUAGCUAUGUAGAAAGAACUUUCUAAAAUCAUUAAGACAAACGGUUAUUCUAUAUUUGUUCUCUUUUUAAUUUUGAACAGUUGAGAAUUUGAGAUUCACUACUUGUGUUGUGAACGAGGG